GACGGAGGAGGCAAGCGUUAUCCGGAAUUAUUGGGCGUAAAGCGUCCGCAGGUGGCGAUUCAAGUCUGCUGUCAAAGGUCGGGGCUUAACCCCGGGAAGGCAGUGGAAACUGAAUAGCUAGAGUGCGGUAGGGGCAGAGGGAAUUCCCGGUGUAGCGGUGAAAUGCGUAGAGAUCGGGAAGAACACCAGUGGCGAAAGCGCUCUGCCGGGGCUGCACUGACACUGAGGGACGAAAGCUAGGGGGGCGAAAGGG
rnacentral:rRNA from 1 species